GCAGGAAGACCUCGUCCAAACUUCUACAAGCACCGGACCUCGCUACCGACUCUAACCGAACUUUGACCGACCAAUCUGGACCCCCUGGCAGGCCACAGUAACGGACAACACUGCUCCACUCCCUGCGGCGAUCCCUACGCAGCUCCAUUACUCCCUGACAGACCGUAUUAACGGCCAUGAUUCUGCUCCACUCCCUGCGGUGGAUCCUGUGCGAUUCCACCACCCUCAGAUGAGUCACGACAGCAGACGCCGCUCCACUCUCCGUAACUGAUCCCACGUGGCGAGCCACGGCGAUA
rnacentral:lncRNA from 1 species